rnacentral:rRNA from 1 species
UACGGAGGGUGCAAGCGUUGUCCGGAUUUAUUGGGUUUAAAGGGUGCGUAGGCGGGAGAUUAAGUCAGAGGUGAAAGACUGCAGCUCAACUGUAGCAGUGCCUUUGAUACUGAUUUUCUUGAGUACAGAUGAGGCUGGCGGAAUGGGUGGUGUAGCGGUGAAAUGCGUAGAUAUCGGGAGGAACACCAGUGGCGAAGGCGGCUUUCUGGUCUGCUCUUGACGCUGAGGCGCGAAAGCUAGGGUAGCAAACGGG